UCUUAAUCAGUACUACAACAUGAACACAAAGGUACUGUUUCUACUGGGUGUGGUUGUGGUGGUGGCUGUCGCGGAUGAUAUUCCCACUUUGUAUGGUCCCCCUCCCCAGGUAUGGCUAUGAAUGGAACGUGCAGGACGGCUACUCUAGCAGCAACUUCGCCCACCAGGAGGACCGUGGGGACGACAACACCAAGGGGUCGUACACCGUGCAGCUU